GGGGCGUGGAUACGGAUGAAUUGACGGCGCCGUCCGCCAAUCGUAUUUGAGGACAGGGAUGCAGCGAGCACUCGACAAAUCAGAAGAGAGUCGUAAUCCGUGAAUACGUUCAAGCUCGGUUGGGGGGAACAGUGGAACACUGCGCAUAUGGGAGGACGUGAAGCAGCACAGGAGGAAUGGCGACACACUAAAACAGUCUAAAAACACUAAAACACAAAAAAAGAAAUCGGGGGAGAAGAGCCUUGGUGAGAGAGGUAAAGAAGAACUGAGAGACCACUGUGGCUGAGCUCCAGAGAUGCAGUCAGGAGAUUGGAGAAAGUUCUAGAAAGUCAACCAUCACUGCAGCCCUCCACCAGUCAGGGCUUUAUGGCAGAGUGGCCUGACGGAAGCCUCUCCUCAGUUCAAGACGCAUGAAAGCCCGCAUGGAGUUUGCUAAAAAACACCUGAAGGACUCCCAGAUGGUCUCUGGUCUGAUGAGAUCAAGAUAGAACUUUUUGGCCUCAAUUCUAAGUGGUAUGUGUGGAGAAAACCAGGCACUGCUCAUCACCUGUCCAAUACAGUCCCAACAGUGAAGCAUGGUGGUGGCAGCAUCAUGCUGCGGGGGUGUUUUUCAGCUGCAGGGACAGGACGACUCGUUGCAAUCGAAGGAAAGAUGAAUGGCGGCCAAGUAGAGGGAUAUCCUGGACAAAAACCUUCUCCAGAGUGCUCAGGACUUCAGACUGGGCCGAAGGUUCACCUUCCAACAAGACAAUGACCCUAAGCACAUAGCAAAAAUUCCGAAGGAGUGGCUUCAGAACAACUCCGUGACUGUUCUUGAAUGGCCCAGCCAGAGCCCUGACAUAAACCCAAUUGAGCAUCUCUGGAGAGACCUGAAAAUGGCUGUCCACCAACGUUCACCAUCCAACCUGACAGAACUGGAGAGGAUCUGGAAGGAGGAAUGGCAGAGGAUUCCCAAAUCCAGGUGUGAAAAACUUGUUGCAUCAUUCCCAAAAAGACUCAUGGCUGUAUUCGCUCAAAAGGGUGCUUCUACCAAAUACUGAGCAAAGGGUCUGAAUACUUAUGGCUUUGUGAUAUUGUUUUUUUGUCUUUUUUAAUAAAUCUGCAAAAAUUCAA